UUAAACCCAUGAAAUUUGAUUGAGUUGUGGGAAUGAUGAAAAUGUUGAUGUUAAACCCAUGAAAAUUGAUUGAAUUAUGAGAAUUAUAGAAAUGAUGAUGUUAAACCCAUGAAAUUUGAUUGAAUACUGGGAAUGAUGAAAAUGUUGAUGUUAAACCCAUUAAAUUUGAUUGAAUUAUGGGAAUUAUAGAAAUGAUGAUGUUUAACCCAUGAAAUUUGAUUGAAUUGUGGGAAUGAUGAAAAGGUUGAUGUUAAACCCAUGAAAUUUUAUUGAAUUGUGGGAAUUAUAGAAAUGAUGAUGUUAAACCCAUGAAAUUUGAUUGAAU
rnacentral:lncRNA from 1 species